AAUCUGGAAACAUGCUGGGCUUUUGUGUGUGGCACUGUGCACCCAGAACUCGGGAGGCUGCGGUCCAAGGCUCUUGAGUUGGAGAUUAGCCUGAGCUACAUAGCAAGCCCCUGUCUCUAAGAAAGAAAGCUUGAAACAACAAAGAUAGUCACAUAAAUCUUGACCUUUCAGAGAAAUAAGCUUUGGUUUUCUUAUUAUUCCAAAGGUUUAAUCGAAAGUUUAACAUUCUUGACCUGAUUUUCACACUGUAGUAGAGCAGCCUUUUGAAGAGGUGAGUGGGUGUCCACCCUGAACUGUCACUGCACUCUGCAAGGGCUUCUGGUAUGGUAGGAUUAGUCCCUCCCACUCCAUCCCAGCACUCUUCUCUGGCCUUCAUUUGCCAUUCACAUUGUCAUCUGUCACAAGAAUCAAAAAGGAAGCUGAUCCUUGGACAUAGCUGUCACCAGUAAAUGUCAAAGUACUCACCCAUACCUCCUCCUGCCUGACAGGGGUGAGUUGUUGUUGUUGUUUUUUUUUUUUAAGUGAGGUGUUUUUUGUUGUUGUUGUUGUUGUUGUUGCUGUUUCCAUGUGCAUUCAAAUAAAGGAGAAUUUACUCAGAAGCAUCACAGUUGCACCACUUUGACUGAGGAACGCAAGAAUCCCACUAUGGUGUCACAGUACCAGUGGACCACGAGCUGGGUGCAGGUGGUGUUAAUCCCCUGUGGGAACUUAGGGACCAGGUGUUCCCCCUUUCCUUGGUGCUCUGAUGUCUCCUUAAGUCUGUAAAGAGAUGUGGUGUUGACCAGAACACUACACCUAAAGGCUAAGGCCCAAGUCCCAUUUCCUCGUCUGGACACACCAGGGAGUGGUGACGAUUCAGUGGCUAACACACAGAAUGCCUGCCACCUGGGAGGCACUUAGCUGUCACAGGUAAGAAACUGUAGUCGCACUGAGGACUGAGGACAUCUAGAGACAAGCGAUAUCUCUGCAGUCUGCUGACUCUGCUGGGCUCUGACUCAUAAGCUCCUUGUGUGUUCUCAAGUAGAAGGCACGCUGUGAACAAGUCUAUCUUUGUAUAGUUGCUUGUGCAUUUUAAGGUAUAUAAGACCAGAUCACAAGUAUUCAAGCUCCACUAUUUGACAUACUCAGAAAAUAUGUUGUCAUAGCAGCAUUUUAUUUCGUAACACAACUCAGUAUUGCACAUCUUUCUGCAGUGGUCUUUCUGCAGUCUUUCCAACAGUGCUCUUGCCAUGAUUGUUGACACAUUAUUUCUAAUGUGUGCCAGCAGUUUUGAAGCAGCACAGGCUUACUAGAUGGUAAGCAGACCAAAAUUUCAUGUUGAGGCCUAACUGUAAUGGGAAAGAUAGUGGAGUGCCUUGGGAUUAUUUGUUAUUGAGAGCUUUCUGUCAUCAGACUUGAGUUUGAAUGUUAGUUUAGAAACAACAGCCUGCUGCUAGAGCUGAGCUUAGGUGCCCCCUCCCAAAAACAAACAAACAAAGGAACUCUGAAUUUGGAAGGACCCAAGUUUCCAUCAUAUUUUUAGAGCAUUUUGAUUCUUUUAAUAGUACCGAUCAUUUGAAAGUAAAAAUGGCUAGGCAUAGUACCAUUAUUCAUUAUUAGAUUUUAAAGAAUACUAGAUUUAGUAUCUCAUGGGCCAAAGUAGCUGAAACCCAUAGUGCUUUGUCAAAGCUAAGUAUGGCAUCUGCAGUUGUCAGUCAUCUAGGAGAGAAGACGGACGGUGGCAGUUGCAAUCUUUCUUUUGAUUGUAUAAACAUCUGUUUGCCUUUCGGAACCUUUGUAUGAUAUGUACUGCUAACAUGAUGUACAGCAUAUUUAUUAAAAAGUUAAUUGUAAAUGUAAAGUUUGGGUUACUUUGGUGUUCCAAACAAUAAAAAAAAGUAC
rnacentral:lncRNA from 1 species